GCCUCGGUAGUGUAGUGGGAGCACGCGUCCCCGGUAUGGGUGAAUCGCGGAUUCAGCUCCCGUCUGAGGUC